rnacentral:tRNA from 1 species
GGGUCUGUAGCUUAGCGGUCUAAAGCGGAGAGCUCAUAACUCUAGGAUCAGGGGUUCAAUUCCCCUCAGACCCACCA